rnacentral:misc_RNA from 1 species
GAUGAAGAACGUAGCAAAAUGCGAUAUGUAAUGUGAAUUGCAGAAUUCAGUGAAUCAUCGAAUCUUUGAACGCACAUUGCGCCCGCCAGUAUUCUGGCGGGCAUGCCUGUUCGAGCGUCAUUUCAACCCUCAAGCACAGCUUGGUGUUGGGACUCGCGUUAAUUCGCGUUCCUCAAAUUGAUUGGCGGUCACGUCGAGCUUCCAUAGCGUAGUAGUAAAACCCUCGUUACUGGUAAUCGUCGCGGCCACGCCGUUAAACCCCAACUUCUGAAUGUUGACCUCGGAUCAGGUAGGAAUACCCGCUGAACUUAAGCAUAUCAAUAAGCGGAGGA